UACAGAGGGUGCAAGCGUUGUUCGGAAUUAUUGGGCGUAAAGCGCGUGUAGGCGGCUUUGCAAGUCGCGUGUGAAAGCCCCCGGCUCAACUGGGGAGGGUCACGCGAUACUGCUCGACUCGAAGGCAGGAGAGGGAAGUGGAAUUCCCGGUGUAGUGGUGAAAUGCGUAGAUAUCGGGAGGAACACCAGUGGCGAAGGCGACUUCCUGGCCUGUUCUUGACGCUGAGGCGCGAAAGCUAGGGUAGCAAACGGG
rnacentral:rRNA from 1 species